GACGAACGCUGGCGGCGUGCUUAACACAUGCAAGUCGAACGGAAAGGCCCUGCUUUUGUGGGGUGCUCGAGUGGCGAACGGGUGAGUAACACGUGAGUAACCUGCCCUUGACUUUGGGAUAACUUCAGGAAACUGGGGCUAAUACCGGAUAGGGGCUCCUGCUGCAGGGUGGGGGUUGGAAGGUUUCGGCGGUUGGGGAUGGACUCGCGGCUUAUCAGCUUGUUGGUGGGGUAGUGGCUUACCAAGGCUUUGACGGGUAGCCGGCCUGAGAGGGUGACCGGCCACAUUGGGACUGAGAUACGGCCCAGACUCCUACGGGAGGCAGCAGUGGGGAAUAUUGCACAAUGGGCGGAAGCCUGAUGCAGCAACGCCGCGUGCGGGAUGACGGCCUUCGGGUUGUAAACCGCUUUCGCCUGUGACGAAGCGUGAGUGACGGUAAUGGGUAAAGAAGCACCGGCUAACUACGUG
rnacentral:rRNA from 1 species